CGGACGGGUGAGUAACACGUGAGCAACCUGCCUUCGAGAGGGGAAUAACGGCUGGAAACGGUCGCUAAUACCGCAUAACAUACAGGAGGGACAUCCCUUUUGUAUCAAAGAUUUAUCGCUCGAAGAUGGGCUCGCGUCCGAUUAGGCAGUUGGUGAGGUAAUGGCCCACCAAGCCGACGAUCGGUAGCCGGACGUGAGAGGUUGAACGGCCCACAUUGGGACUGAGACACGGCCCAGACUCCUACGGGAGGCAGCAG
rnacentral:rRNA from 1 species